rnacentral:snoRNA from 1 species
AUGAAGAGCCGAUGGCUGGCCGGAGUCAUGACGGGGAUUGGCGGGUUCUGA